GACGAACGCUGGCGGCGUGCUUAACACAUGCAAGUCGAACGGAAAGGCCCUGCUUGCAGGGUACUCGAGUGGCGAACGGGUGAGUAACACGUGGGUGAUCUGCCCUGCACUUCGGGAUAAGCCUGGGAAACUGGGUCUAAUACCGGAUAGGAGCCAUUUUUAGUGUGAUGGUUGGAAAGUUUUUUCGGUGUAGGAUGAGCUCGCGGCCUAUCAGCUUGUUGGUGGGGUAAUGGCCUACCAAGGCGGCGACGGGUAGCCGGCCUGAGAGGGUGGACGGCCACAUUGGGACUGAGAUACGGCCCAGACUCCUACGGGAGGCAGCAGUGGGGAAUAUUGCACAAUGGGCGCAAGCCUGAUGCAGCGACGCCGCGUGGGGGAUGACGGCCAUCGGGUUGUAAACUCCUUUCGCUAGGGACGAAGCUUUUUGUGACGGUACCUAGAGAAGAAGCACCGGCUAACUACGUG
rnacentral:rRNA from 1 species